CACAUGAUCUGAUGGUGGUUUAUUUGUUCAGGACGGGCGUCUGAUAGCAGAUCCAUCAGAUCCUCAAACACUGAAUGAUCCUGCGACGGCUGUAAAAUCUGAUCGUCUCGUCACGUCUCGCUGUGUGAAUCUGAAGCAUGAGAUCAUCUGUGAUGCUUCAGGAUUCAGACUGGACACCAUGUUCAGAGCGAGGAAUGAAACUGCAGCAGCUCCAGACUCAG